UUCUAUUCAAUUUUCCCAAUGCGCAUGUCCAUCGCAGACGGCGAGACAACGAAAAUGGCCGAUAUGGAGAUGGAGGUUGACGGCAAAAGCUUGGACAGUGGGAAAGAACGAGAGGGAGAGGAGGUGGAGAGUUCGGAGAAGAGCGGGAACGAGGAGGAGAACGGCGAUGUGUCCGGGGAGGAGGAGGAGGAGGACGAGGAUGACGACGGGGGAAAGCCUGAAGGGGAAGUCAAGCACAGCGGUGGCGGUGGUGGCGGCGGCGGCGGCAGCAACAGCAAACACAAGAAGAAGAAACACAAGCACCGGAGCAAACACAAGAAACACAAGCACUCGUCCCCCGAGGAGAAGGACCGGCGACACAAGCACCGGCACAAACGCAAGAAACACCGGCGCAAAGACGGCGCCGCCUCGGCCGCCGGCGCCAACAGCGCGGGCAAGGACGCCGCGUCGCCCGCCUCCAAGCGCCCCAAGUUCGACGACAUGGCGGUCCUGGAGGACCUGGAGAAGCAGAGGGCGCUGAUCAAAGCCGAGCUGGACAACGAGCUGAUGGAGGGCAAGGUGCAGUCGGGCAUGGGCCUCAUCCUGCAGGGCUACAACUCGGGCUCCGAGGAGGAGGGCGAGAUUCAGGACCGGGCCCGCAACGGGGAGGCGCAGAGGGGCGCCGCGGGGAAGACCCUCGCCCCCAAGGGCCAGGGCAGCUCGGCCGCCAACAAGGAGGCCAAGCCCCGGCGGGAGUCCGCCGACGCCGGCAAGUCCGCGGCCAAGCGGCGCAGCCGGAGCAAGUCCAAGGACCGGGCCGCGAAAGUGCAGAAGUCCGAGAGGAGGAAGAGCAGGAGCGGGGCCGAGCCGGUCGCCAAGGAGAGGACGAAGGCCCGCAGCCGGUCCAAGGAGAGGAAGCGGUCUCGAACCCCGGACCGGAGCAGGGACAGGGCCAAGAGGUCCAAGUCCCCCACCGGCAGGAGGCGCUCUUCCGCGGAGAGGAACCGGCACACGCCGUCUCCGACGGGGGAGGCGGAGCCGGCGGCCCGCGCCAACAAGAGGCCGUCGCCCCCGGCGCCGGCGCCGUCCGGGGAGAGCCGCAACCGCGGCGGCCGCAAGUCCAAGUCCCCCGAGAGGCGGAGCCGGUCGCGAGACCGCCGGUCCCGGUCCAAGGACCGGAGAGCCAGGCGGUCGGAGGGAGACAAGGACAAAGACAAGGACAGGGAGAGUGUCGGUAACAGGGACAGAGACAGAGAGAGGGACAGGGACAGAGAGAGGGACCGGGACAAGAAGCCGGCCAAGUCCCCGUCCAAGGACGCCUCGUCGGGCAAGGAGAACCGCUCGCCCAGCCGAAAGCGGGGCCCCAGCCCCCAGGUGCGGCGGAGCACCUCCCCCAGGCGGCGAGACCGCCGCUCCCCGCAGCCCCCGGCCAACGCCCAGGCCGGGGACCGGAGGUCCAAGCAGAGCCGCUCCGCCUCGCGAAACCGCUCCCCCGCCAGGAGGGGGCGCAGUCGGUCGCUGGAGCGCAGGCGUAGGGAGGCGGAGCGUCAGCGCCUGUCGCCCGUCAGGAUGCGGUCGCGGGACGAGGGCGGGGCGCGCCGGGACGCCAGCCCCCCCCGGCGCAGGGUCAGCCGCUCGCCCCUGCGGAGGAGGUCCCGGUCCCCGUGGCGACGCAGCCGCUCGCCGCUCAGACGGAGGUCUCUGGAGCGGGACAGGAUGGGCCGUCGGCAGCGCUGGCGCUCGGGGUCCCGGGAGCGCCGGAGGAGGCGCAGCCGGGACAAGGAGGACAAGUUCAAGGGCAGCCUGUCGGAGGGCAUGAAGGCCGACCAGGAGGAGUCGGACGACGAAGUGCUGGAAGACUUUGAUGUUGAUGAAGAAGACGAAGAGGCCGUUAUCGAGCAGAGACGUCUGCAGAGGCUGGCCAUCGUGCAGAAGUACAAGGCGGUGAACGAGGACAGCAACGUCUCCAUGCCGUCGGAGCCCAGCAGCCCGCAGAGCAGCCCCCGCAGCCGCUCGGCCUCGCCCGACGACAUCCUGGAGCGCGUGGCCGCCGACGUCAAGGAGUACGAGCUGGAGAACGUCGACACCUUCGAGGCCAACAUGAAGGCCAAGCAGAACCUCAUCGCCGUGGAGAAGGACGGAUCCAAUCCAAAAAAGCCAUCGGCACCCGAUAUGUUUACAGAGUCGGACGACAUGUUCGCGGCGUACUUUGAUAGCGCCAGACUCCGAGCCGCCGGCAUAGGGAAGGACUUCAAGGAGAACCCCAACCUCAGGGACAACUGGACGGACGCGGAGGGGUACUACCGGGUGAACAUCGGGGAGGUGCUGGACAAGCGCUACGGGGUGUACGGCUACACGGGGCAGGGCGUGUUCAGCAACGUGAUCCGCGCCCGGGACAUGGCCCGCGCCAGCCAGGAGGUGGCGAUAAAGAUCAUCCGCAACAACGAGCUCAUGCAAAAGACGGGACUGAAGGAGCUGGAGUUCCUCAAGAAGCUCAACGACGCCGACCCCGACGACAAGUUCCACUGCCUGCGGCUCUUCAGACACUUCUACCACAAGCAGCAUCUCUGCCUGGUGUUCGAGCCCCUCAGCAUGAACCUGCGGGAGGUGCUGAAGAAGUACGGGAAGGACGUGGGGCUGCACAUCAAGGCGGUGCGCUCCUACAGCCAGCAGCUCUUCCUGGCCCUCAAGCUGCUGAAGCGCUGCAACAUCCUGCACGCCGACAUCAAGCCCGACAACAUCCUGGUGAACGAGUCCAAGACCAUCCUCAAGCUCUGCGACUUCGGCUCGGCGUCCCACGUCGCGGACAACGACAUCACGCCCUACCUGGUCAGCCGGUUCUACAGGGCGCCUGAAAUCAUCAUCGGGAAACCCUACGAUUACGGGAUUGACAUGUGGUCCGUGGGCUGCACGCUGUACGAACUGUACACGGGCAAGAUCCUCUUCCCCGGGAAGACCAACAACCACAUGAUCAAGCUCGCCAUGGACCUCAAGGGCAAGAUGCCCAACAAGAUGAUCCGAAAGGGGCUGUUCAAGGAUCAGCACUUCGAUCAGAACUUGAACUUCUUGUACAUUGAAGUGGACAAAGUGACCGAAAGGGAAAAAGUGACGGUGAUGAGCACCAUCAACCCCACCAAGGACUUGCUCACGGACAUGAUUGGCUGCCAGCGCCUCCCCGAGGACCAACGCAAGAAGGUGGUCCAGCUCAAAGACCUGCUGGACCAAAUCCUUAUGCUGGACCCCGCCAAGAGAAUCAGCAUCAACCAGGCCCUGCAGCACCCCUACAUCCAAGAGAAGAUCUGACCUGCUCACCCAGCGCUACUGCAACCACUGCUACUUACUAAGUACUAUGGGUCUGGCAGAGGGGAAAAAACAAACCGAAAAAACAAAAAACUUGAUUUGUUUAGUAACUGCAGAGACUGACUGAAGAGUACCUAGGAAAAGAAACAUUUUUUAAAAAUAGUUAACAUUAUUUUUUUUAUUGUUAUUUUGAUGCACAUACAUACCCGUGUUUUUUGCUUUUAUUAUGAAUUUAUUAAGAAAUCAAAGGGUAGGGGUCCAAAAAAAAAAAAAAUCACAUGUACAUUUCCGUUUUUUGGAUUACUUGCAGGACACCCUCAAAUCAAAACCGGUCUGACUUACAGUUUGGCUUUGGUGGGAAGGUUUGGCUUCGAUGUUUAUGGGCCAUCCGAAUAAAGUUUUAGAGAAAAAGAAAAAAAAAUCCCCUUUAUUGCGCUGGAUAAAUAAACCUUUUAUCCUCAUUUUUGAAGUGCUCGUUCUUGGGCCCCUGCAAAAGACCGGUGCUGAAGGCAGUAAUUGAAAAUACGCUUUGUAUGGUUCAGGUUGAGAGAGGGAAGGGUUAUGGUCAUUUAUAGCUUGCCAAGGCUGCACAAGACAGAGCAGAUCGAGUCCCUGAAGAUUGCACACGUCCUUUAUGCAGGGCAGGACGUGUAGCCCUCGCUGUACAGGUGUACAUGCGCAAUGUCUCGUGAGUGUAGACUGCACCAUACAGGUGUAUAGGCGUGAGGUCUUGUGCGUGUAGACCACACCAUACAGGUGUACUGGCGCUGCACAGGUAGACCUGACUGUACAGGUGUGCACGCACAAGACCUCACUGUACAGGUGUACACGCACGAGACCUCACUGUACAGGUGUGCGUGCACAAGACCUCACCGUACAGGUGUACAAGCAAGUAGACCUCGCUGUACAGGUGUACUGGCGCCGUACAGGUGUACACGCGCGAUGUCUGGUGCAGGCUUGGCAGCUGUUGCUGUGUGUGGCGCAGGCCGGCGUAAAUGCUGUCUAUAUCCGCGUCUCCCCCAGGUGUGAGUGCACAGGCCCGGCAGCAUGGCACGCCCGUGGCGUGGGUCUUGUGUCCUCCUUGAGUCCGCCUGCAGGGACGGCCUGCCCUCCUCAGUUAAAGCAGGUUGUGUACCACUUUCAGUACACUGAAGGUAAGCUCCCCAAACCCAUCAACUUCACUGGUGUUCUCGCGCAUUCUAGCACACUGGCAAAAACGAGAGAGAAAAAAAAAUUACUUAAAAAAAAAUAUAUAUAAAUCCAGUCCUGGCUUCUCUGGCAUUUUACUUUGCAUGUGUAAAGAGCAACGCGCAAAAUGGACGAUCACACAAAUUUCAGAAAAAAAAUUUAAAUUUAAAUCGAUGUGCUGAUGGUUUGUUUCAGAUUUUACGCUGUGUUGUAUACCUCACGUCGAUUACAUUUUCUGUCAAUGAAAAUUCAGUUGCAAGUCUGAAUGUAUUUUUUUGGCAAACCAAUAGUGUGCAGAUUUGGGGGGCUGGUGGGACUCGAAGCUCUGAUGGAUGAAGGCGCCUUCAGUGUACUGCUUCUAUUAAUAAAGUUUUUUCAAAUCUUUGCAGAAAUGUGACUUAGUAAGGGGUAGUCUAUCCUUUUCUUUCUGUCAGUUUUUCACCCUUUACUAUAUAUUAAGUAAUCUUAGAAAACUGCAUGUGAGGACUUAAGAUGGCAGUCUCUUAUAUGUUGUGUAAAAUUCUUUGUGUGCUUUUUUUCUUAAAGGCCAUUUAAACUUUUUUCUGUUUUAGUCCUCCUUUGACUCAUGUCUGUGAUCAUGUUGUCUUUUGAUACAGGGAUAUUCCUGCUCUGAUCUUUGCAUCUGCUUGUUACAAGCGGUAAUUGCUUCUUUACUAUUUCCCCUUGUAUUGUAUUGUUGAACCAUCUUCUGGGCAUCCUUGGGACAGAAAAAAAGAAACCGCAAAACCAAAAGCAUAGUUUUUAUGCAGUUAUUUUUCAGAUUUAUGUGUUUUGCUUCUUGUCAUCUGAGAAGUCUUCCCUGCAUGUUGACUGGAUGGCGCAGAAUUAUUGUAAAUCCUCAGUAUGCAUUAAAAAAAAAAAAAAAAAGCGUAAAAUAAAGUUUUUUGUGGAAAAAAAAAUUGACAAAACAUGGUUGUGCGGACCUUGCAGAAAUUUCUGUGGUCUUUUUUGCGAACUAACUCCUUUUUCUUUCUGAAGCACUUAACCUCAAACACAUGUAAAAUUCAGAACCAGAAAAGUAAGAAAUGCUGCAUUCUGUUUACCCUGUGCCUUUACUGCAGCACUGCCUCCGUUUCAGCGUUUGUCUGCACUUUAGGCUGAUAUUUGGGGGUGUUAUGGAAGACAGAAAAAGCGGUGCUGUGUGUUUUGACACUAAUUACUGUUUGUGAUGUUUCUCCCACUCUUUCCUGUGGUUGCUGAGAGAGACAAAGCCAAGUUAAGCCUCCAGGCCAAGAGGCUCUGUCCACCGUCCUCUACUGCCUGGUUCUGCUUUGAAAGACAAGACCUCCAUCUACUUAACAAGGUCAUUUCUGAUGGCAUGUGUAGAUCAAAGACAAUGUGAGAGACGCGUAUAAAGAUGUAAACAGAAGCUUUAAAAAAAAAUCUAAAGCUCAGUAUGUGUCAUUGGGUCCUUUCCUAGUCAUCACAUUGCCAAAUGUACACAACGGCUAUGUCUGGAUAAGGUCUGGGUGGAGAUUAUGCUUUGGGAGGGCAUGGAAACUAUGCUACUCUCGGUAUAUUUGUACAAAUUGGGUUCGUUUGUGGUACAUUUGGGCCAGUGAGACCAGGGUCAACUAAUGUCUAAGAGUCAAGGGGGGGGGGACAUUAAGUUCUUUUGGUUUGGAUGGUUUGUCUCUCCACAAGUGCUGAAGGAACAUGAUACUGUAAUGUUUUGGUCAUGGAUAACUGCCUCUCUGUCAUGGGUACAAAAGGUACAACGUUCUUAUCUCCUAUGUCUUACAGACCUAAGCCUAAAGCUUAAGUCCAUAAGCUGUCAUGUAUAUCCUUCCUGUGCUGAUGUACUGGGCCACGUGUUUAGUCUCUACUGAUCUGAACAUGUCAAUGGUAAAAGGUUGUUUUAAGUUCCUGGCCAAACAAGUGGACCCAGUCCUGACAUACCGUUUGUCCUCAAACUUCACGGUUAACUUUUUUUUUGUGUUCAGUUAUGAGUGAUCGGCAAAAGCAUCCAGAUACUCGUUUAUGUGUUCUCUGUAUUCUAGGUGCAGUCCCUUAGAAGAUCCUCACAGAGCACCUCACCUGGACAAAGGGUAAGUUGCCAUUUGGCAUUUUCCUGUUCCCCUUCUGACUUGAAAACUUGGACUUGGCCAUUUGGACACCCAAGGAAGCAGCUCUGAUCCCAUUGAACCAUUUGCUAAUGCUUAUUGCAUCAUUGUUUAUUAUGAUGAUCUUGCACUGCACCUCAUAUUUGAUAAACAUUGUAAAUGAGCUGCAUUCACGUAGUAUUUCAAGCAUAAAUGUAACCAAUUUAAGUAUAAA